GAGAAAACUUUCGGCUGCAGUCAUCAUCAGCGGAGAUUGUUUUUACUGCCCGAGGUACAGGGAACGGUUUGAAGACGAUACUGCAAGAAAAUGAAUGUCUCGUUUCAGUCUUCCUCGGCCGAUGUAUCUCCAUCUAUCACCCCCUGUGGCACACCCCUCAGUGGCACACAUGCCCCCAAGUAUGGCACAGUCAUUCCAAACCGCAUCUUUGUAGGCGGUAUUGCAGCAAAUCAGACUACAGAGGCCGAAUUGAAGCAAUUUUUCCAGGCCUAUGGAGCUGUGAAGGACUCCAAGAUUAUCGCUGAUCGAGCUGGAGUGUCCAAAGGGUAUGGGUUUAUAACAUUUGAAAAUCAGGAAGAUGCAGAACGAAUUAUCAAGAAAGAGGCCGACAAUUUGGUGUUCAAAGACAGAAAAUUAAACAUCGGCCCAGCAAUCAGGAAACAGCAGGUUCUACAAAGGUCCUUUGAUGGAAUUGCAGAUCAUGAACAUGAAAUCUUGAAUCAGAGUAUUCCUACUGGGACGGUGAUGUUCUCUAAUGGAGUGCCAUAUACAUAUCAGAAUGGAAUGGCCAUCUUCCAUUCCCCUGAAGGAGGCUACCAAAUACCACAGCCCCAGGUCAGCCCACAGCAGCCGGCCUACUCCACUGUGAUGGUUCCACAGACUCCGACCAUGUAUGUGUCUCCUCAGUACUCCGCCUACCAGCCGACGACCCCUCAAUGGACUACUGCUGCUAAUCCUUGGAGAUGGGCCCCACAGCAGAGUCCCGGUCAGACAAUAGGGGGAAAUCCAAGUUACAUCUAUGCAGCAAUGCACGCCUCGCCAGAACUGAUGUACGCCCAGCCACCACCCCACCAGGCUUAUCAAACGGGAGAAAUGACCGACACCAUGCUGGAGGGUCCCCCCCUGGAGGGCAGUGGGAUGAUGCAGGAUCCUUCUCUGGUCAACAACCCUUAUGUCACUGACUACAGCGAACAGCCACUGCAGCCUACCCUUGCCAUGACGACUAUACCAGUACACCCCCAGGCCCCCACUGUUGCUCCCCCUCCUUGCAAAUCCACGACAACAGCAGCAGCUUCCGUGGCACCUUACACCAAGAAGUCGCUGUCGACCAUCCCCCGACGCCCCUACAGCAGCCCAACCUACCUGGUCAAACACGGCAACAAGGUUCAGCGACUCAUGAUCCCCAGCAAGGCUAUGGCAGCUCAUAUGGCGCUUCUCCGAUCCCCCGAGUCUGCAGGCCUUGAGCUUGCUGAGGGGCUUCUCCGACAUCCAUUGCUUACUCCUCCUCCCGAUAAAUAAUCAAUAUCUGACAAAUAGUCCACUCUUAAAAGCUCCAGCAGACAUUUAGAAAAUAUUUUGUCAAUUUAAAUUUGUCUUUUACUCAUUGCAUCCCCUCAAUGGUAAAGCAUCAACUGAAGUUUAAACUUUCACAACAGACCAGUACAGGUAGAUUCAUUCAGACAGGUAACUCCCCCCAUUCCUAUCAGUUUUAGACACACUCCCCACCAACCACCCUAUCAAACUAUUUUAAGCUAUAACGUUAUAUUUUGAUGUGUCACUCCUUGUUUCUUGUUUGUCGCCCAUUAAACUGCGCAGAGUGUGUGUAUGUUAUGUUUGGACAUCAAGUCAGCAUGUGUUGAGGCUCAUGGUUAGGCCAGUGGGUUUUUGUUGGUCAGCACAACAAACUGACCGGUCCACUGGUCAGAAACCUUGAGUUCCUCCUCGAUGACCUUGAGUUAUUAACUAUGCAUGUUUUGUUUGUGUUUGUUGCACCACGUUCAUACUGCCUCCUCACCAUCCUGCAUGAGAAAUGUUAGUACUAGCCAACACCAUUGGACUUGGGUGGUUUGUGACACCAUUGGACUUGGGUGGUUUGUGACACCAUUGGACUUGGGUUGUUUGUGACACCAUUGGACUUGGGUGGUUUGUAACACCAUUGGACUUGGGUGGUUUGUGACACCACUGGACUUGGGUGGUUUGUGACACCAUUGGACUUGGGUUGUUUGUGACACCAUUGGACUUGGGUGGUUUGUAACACCAUUGGACAAAUAAUUUGCAUAGAUUAGAAUGAUAAUCCUCUGUCAAGGUGAAUUGCUGCCCAAUGUAUACAAAAUUACCAAUGUUCCUUACCAUUCAUAUAGUAUACCAGUUUCGUGUUCACUAUUACCACCCAUGGCCAAUGUAUACCAAUGAUGUGUACACUAUUACAAAGUGUUACUGUAUAACAAUGUUCUGUACACUUACCACCCACUGUAUACCAAUGAUGUGUACAUUAUAUAGUUAGGAGUACUACAUUGAUGUACAAACUACCAUGUUGGUGGGUACACUACAAUACAAGAGUUGUACACUACGGACAGGUACUCUACAUUUUGAAUAAUUGUAAUCUAGUGCUACAGACGUUAUGGUACAGUAACUUACAUUGUACCCUUCCGUCUGUAUGGUACAGUACCUGAGGUUGUACCUUACUGACAUUGUGCAGUGCCGGGUUGUACCAUACAUUUGUUGUGGUACAUCAUUGUACCCUUCUGUCUGUAUGGUACAGUACCUUGGGUUGUACCUUACUGACAUUGUGCAGUGCCGGGUUGUACCAUACAUAUGUUGUGGUACAUCAUUGUACAGUGCCGGGUUGUACCAUUCAUUUGUUGUGGUACAUCAUUGUACCCUUCCGCCUGUAUGGUACAGUACCUGGGGUUGUACCUUACUGACAUUGUACAGUGCCGGGUUGUACCAUACAUAUGUUGUGGUACAUCAUUGUACAGUGCUGGGUUGUACCAUACAUUUGUUGUGGUACAUCAUUGUACCCUUCUGUCUGUAUGGUACAGUACCUGGGGUUGUACCUUACUGACAUUGUGCAGUGCCAGGUUGUACCAUACAUUUGUUGUGGUACAUCAUUGUACAGUGCCGGGUUGUACCAUACAUUUGUUGUGGUACAUCAUUCUACAGUGCCGGGUUGUACCAUACAUUUGUUGUGGUACAUCAUUGUACCCUUCCGUCUGUAUGGUACAGUACCUGAGGUUGUACCUUACUGACAUUGUGCAGUGCCGGGUUGUACCAUACAUAUGUUGUGGUACAUCAUUGUACGGUGUAUCCUUUUGUCUGUAUAGUACAGUACCUGGGGUUGUACCUUACUGACAUUGUACAGUGCCACGUUGUACCAUACAUAUGUUGUGGUACAUCAUUGUACCCUUCCGUCUGUAUGGUACAGUCCCUGGGGUUGUGCCUUACUGACAUUGUACAGUGCCACGUUGUUCUAUACAUUUGUUAUGGUACAUCAUUGUACCCUUCCGUCUGUAUGGUACAGUACCUGGGGUUGUUCCUUACUGACAUUGUACAGUGCCACGUUGUACCAUACAUAUGUUGUGGUUCAUCAUUGUACCCUUCCGUCUGUAUGGUACAGUACCUGAGGUUGUACCUUACUGACAUUGUGCAGUGCCGGGUUGUACCAUACAUAUGGUGUGGUACAUCAUUGUACGGUGUAUCCUUUUGUCUGUAUAGUACAGUACCUGGGGUUGUACCUUACUGACAUGGUGCAGUGCCAGGUUGUACCAUACAUUUGUUGUGGUACAUCAUUGUUCGGUGUACCCUUCUGUCUGUAUGGUACAGUACCUGGGGUUGUACCUUACUGACAUUGUACAGUGCCACGUUGUACCAUACAUUUGUUAUGGUACAUCAUUGUACCCUUCCGUCUGUAUGGUACAGUACCUGGGGUUGUACCUUACUGACAUUGUACAGUGCCGGGUUGUACCAUACAUUUGUUGUGUUACAGUAACUUGUGUUCUACCCUACACUCAGUAUAGUACGGUGACUUGGGUUGCACCCUACCAUGUUGAUAAAGAUGCUACAUGCGGAUGUAUGCUACACUUGAUUGAUCUGUGUGGCCAUGUUGGCAUAUUUAUACAAUAAUUCUUUCCAUUAAGUCUGUCAUUUUGAUGUUUUGAGCAUAUACAUGUACAGCAAGUUCUUAAAAAUGAAUCUAUUAUUGCUAAUUUAAUUGUGGGCAAAUUGAGAUGUGGAGAGAUAUUGAUGAAUACAUAUAUAUGAGAAGUUAUGUUUUUGUUGUGUAAAUAUAUAUUGUACUUUGUUUUUGUAUUUAGUUUAUGAUGAUACUACCUGUAGAGAAAUCAAGGUUGUGGACUAUUUUCUAUUUGUGAGAGAUUUAAGUUGUAUGUUUGCUGAUUUCAGAAAAUUAACAUAUCCUUUGAAGAUUUUUUCAAAAAUAUUUCAUUUUCUGUGUCUCUAUUUAUAUUGUUUUGUUUUUGCUUUGAUAAAAAAAUCAUCUUUAGCAUAUAUAGAUUUAUUUAUUAUUUGUUUCUGUGAUUCAUCCAACCUUUUAUUCCCAGCUGACAGUUCAAGGUCACUUGCUGGUAACUAUAGUAAUGGUAGUGUUUGUUUAUGUAUGUAAAUAGACAGAAAAUGCCAAUGCAUUGCUGAAAAAUGUAAAAUUUCCUACAAAUCAACAUAUGGGUACUGCAUUUACCAGUAUAUUGUGUUUUCUGUUGAAUUUUGCAAGAUUCGGAAAUUCAAUAACUGUCCUUUUUUAUGACUGAUUCAAAGGAAUAUUGAUGAGACAGUAGACCUGAAAUCAGAAUCAUGGAUGAUGAUGUUCCUUCGUGCUUAGCCAGCAAGUGAUCUUGAUGAUGUCAUCCACUUUCAGUUACAAACAUUACUUCCAUAAUUCCUUUCAUUUUUAUGCAUCAUUAACUUUUUUCAUAUUUUGUAAUCGUUGAAAAAUUAUUUUGUAUGAAAAUUCAUAUGUAUUACAUUGAAAUGUGAACAUGUUUAGUAUAGGUUGUAGUGAGGUACCUACAAUAAAUGUCUCUGUGUUAAGUGUAGUUUUUAGUGAGGUACCUACAAGCAAUGUGUCUGUUUAGUGUAGUUUGUAGUGAGGUACCUGCAAGCAAUGUGUCUAUGUUUAGUGUAGUUUGCAGUGAGGUACCUACAAGCAAUGUGUCUAUGUUAAGUGUAGUUUGUAGUGAGGUACCUACAAGCAAUGUGUCUAUGUUUAGUGUAGUUUAUAGUGAGGUACCUACAAGCAAUGUGUCUAUGUUUAGUGUAGUUUGUAGUGAGAUACCUACAAGCAAUGUCUAUGUUUAGUGUAGUUUGUAGUGAGGUACCUACAAGCAAUAUCUCUAUGUUUAGUGUAGUUUGUAGUGAGGUACCUACAAGCAAUGUGUCUAUGUUUAGUGUUUUUUUAGUAUAUACAAUUAAUGUUGUAAUUUGUAAUCGGCUAACAUUAAGCAAUUUGUCAAUACGUAAGGUAUAGUUUGUAGCGAGGUACCUACAAUCAAUUUGUCUAUGUUUAGUAUAGUUUGUAGUGAGGUACCUACAAGCAAUAUCUCUAUGUUUAGUAUAGUUUGUAGCGAGGUACCUACAAGCAAUAUCUCUAUGUUUAGUGUAGUUUGUAGUGAGGUACCUACAAGCAAUGCAUGUUUUCAUGUUUCGUGAAGUUUGUCCCAACAGUAGAUUAUAAAAUCCUUAUACACACCUCAGACCUCAACAACCAGAAUAUCUGGAGUAUUUAAAAAAAAGAACAUUAUAUCAUGAAAAGAACAAUUAACAUUUUAAAAUCAAUCAAAUCCAUUUUUUUUACCCUAACCUAGUGAUGAUGUAUACAGAAAUUGAGUUUUUGUUAUCAAUGAAAAUGUUGAAGUGAAGUUGUUUUAAGUAAACAAUGAUCAUUGAAUAUAUCAGCUUGCAUCAGAAAUUCUGGCAAUUUUUUGUUAUAUUGACACAAAUCUAAUUUGUCAUUGCAAAACAAUAUAUCUUUGGUAUAAUGCCAUUUAGUUGAGUUUUGUAAUGGGUUUCAACGAUCAUAGAGAAAGUUUUGAUUAUAAACAAUAAAAAAAAAGUCAUACAUGUAAUUACAAACAAAAAAAAGCCAAAUAAUUAAACCUGGAAAAGUCUUCAACCCAUCAAACCCCGAGUAGGGACAGCUGUACCAGUUGUAUACUGCAGAUAUAUAAUGGUCUGAUAGAUGUGGUACAAUACUAUAUAUAGCCUCUGUAUUGCAAUAUACCAGUUUUCCAAUAUAUUGUGACAGUCCAAUAUUUACCAUGAGAUUUUAGUAGAAAGUGUAAAUGUAACUUACGAUGUGAUUAUUUGUGUCUGUGUAAAUUAGAAUGUGAUGAUUGUUGUCGGUGUGAAUUAGUAUACAUGUAUGAUUGUGAUCUUGUGGCUUAGGUUGUGGUUGUUUGUGUCCUUUUGUAUAGAGCGGCAAUCGUUUGUAGUGUUGUGACUUAAAAUGUGAUCUUUGAUGCAGUUAUUUUGUAUUAUUUUGCUUUAUAUUAUUAUUUUUGUCCCUUUGUUAAAUGGAUGUGAUCAUUUGUCUCACUGUGCCUUAGAAAUCCUUACAUGUCUCACGAAUGUUAUCAUGUUUGUCCCUGUGCCUUAGUACGAGAUCUCGUGGAUGUUAUCAUUUUUGUCCUAGUGCCUUACGACGUGAAGUGUCGCUGUGGACUUGUCAAGUUCUACAUAUCAUAUUAUGUAUAAUGCAUCAGUGUGAAGCUCUUGUUGAGAACUAGGAACAACGGCACUGUUCCUUUAUAUAAGUCUACCACAUGAUCUGCAGGUGUACAGCCAAAUUUUUUUGUUACACAUUUUCAACCAUUGAGGAUGGAAUUUGCAUGAAAUUCUUUCAAAAGAUUUUGAACUUGCAGCUUUUUAUAUACCAAUUUUUCUUAAAUAUCUUAAACAGAAAAACAACUUUUAUUGACAUGAAAUUUUUAAUGUUUUGUUCAAAUAAAGGAAGCUAAUUGUUGAGUAAAUCAAAAGCAAGCCUCUAAAGGGUCAUAGAUAGUGGUUUUCCUCAGGUAGAGAUUAUGAAGAUUUGUAUGUGAAUGUAAGGACAUUUUAUUGUUUCUAUGAUGAUAAGUGAUUUUACUGUGGUUGGCUUGAUUGAAGGCUGUACUAAGGACAGCCGUGUGUCUGAUAAGCUCUUGUAUGAUGUGCCAACUGUGAAUAAAUAAUAUCGAGCAAUCAG
rnacentral:misc_RNA from 1 species